AGAGUUUGAUCCUGGCUCAGAACGAACGCUGGCGGCGUGUUUAAGACAUGCAAGUCGCACGGAGAAACAAAGGUAUUUAUAUUUUUGUUUUUUAGUGGCGCACGGGUGAGUAACACGUGAAUUACAUGCCCUUCAGUGGGGAAUAGCCCGGGGAAACCCGGAUUAAUACCCCAUAGUCCCGCAAGGGUAAAGGUGGCCGUAAGGCUGUCGCUGAAGGAUUGGUUCGCGCCCUAUCAGCUUGUUGGUGAGGUAACGGCUCGCCAAGGCUACGACGGGUACCUGGUCUGAGAGGACGAUCAGGCACACUGGAACUGAGACACGGUCCAGACACCUACGGGUGGCAGCAGUCGAGAAUAAUUCACAAUGGGGGCAACCCUGAUGGUGCAACGCCGCGUGGAGGAUGACGGUCUUAGGAUUGUAAACUCCUGUCAUCUGGGAGAAAGACCUGGUCGUGAAUAGCGAACAGGGUUGAUAGUACCAGAAGAGGAAGGGACGGCUAACUUCGUGCCAGCAGCCGCGGUAAUAUGAAGGUCCCGAGCGUUGUUCGGAAUCACUGGGCGUAAAGGGAGCGUAGGCGGCGCGGUAAGUCGGAUGUGAAAUCCCGGGGCUCAACCCCGGAACUGCAUCUGAUACUGCCGUGCUAGAGUAAUGGAGGGGUAGCUGGAAUUCUCGGUGUAGCAGUGAAAUGCGUAGAUAUCGAGAGGAACACUCGUGGCGAAAGCGAGCUACUGGACAUUUACUGACGCUGAGGCUCGAAGGCUAGGGGAGCGAAAGGGAUUAGAUACCCCUGUAGUCCUAGCAGUAAACGGUGCACGCUUGGUGUGAGGGGAUUCGACCCCCCUUGUGCCGGAGCUAACGCGUUAAGCGUGCCGCCUGGGAAGUACGGUCGCAAGACUAAAACUCAAAGAAAUUGACGGGGACCCGCACAAGCGGUGGAGUAUGUGGCUUAAUUCGAUGCAACGCGAAGAACCUUACCUAGGCUUGACAUGGAUUUCUAAGCACGUGAAAGCGUGUGACCCUUCGGGGAACUUCCACAGGUGCUGCAUGGCCGUCGUCAGCUCGUGUCGUGAGAUGUUGGGUUAAGUCCCACAACGAGCGCAACCCU
rnacentral:rRNA from 1 species